ensembl:lncRNA
UUGCAAGCUCAUGUAACGCGGAGUGGCGGACCUGUCCUCAUCAUGGUCCCAAGACAAUAAACCAACGACAGGAUCGAUGCUGGAGACGAGAAGCAAGUACAGGGAGUGAACAUUUACUGGAGAACGGACAUCAAACCAAAACAACAACAGUGUCUGGACAGGGGGAACAAAAUGACAUAACUACAAUAAUGCUGACACGGGGAACCAACUGAAGAACAGACCGAUAUAGAAGGGCAAUCAACAAAGUAAUGGAGCCCAGUCCGGGGCCCGCAACGAGGGUCCCCAGUCCGGGGCCCGCAACGAGGGUCCCCAGUCCGGGGCCCGCAGCGAGGGUCCCCAGUCCGGGGCCCGCAGCGAGGGUCCCCAGUCCGGGGUUGGCGGCGAGGGUCCCCAGUCCGGGGUCGGUGGUGAGGGUCCCCACACCAGAGGCACCACCAAAGCGGGGUGAGCCAGAGGUGGAGCGGGGUCUACGUCCCGCACCAGAUGCCCACCCG